AGAAUGUGUAAAAGUAGUGAAAUCUUAAUCAAAUAUAUAUCUCUGGGUGAAAUGAUCAGGGAAACUGAAUAGACUGCAAUCUACACUGUGACUAACAUAUAAAUCAAUGCGGAGCGGGGACUGACAGCCACCUGAGCAGGUCGCACACGGCUGGAGCUCUGCAAACUUAGCUUGAAAUACUGCUGCUUUACCCACAAAUUCGUCCUAAUUCUGCC